ACACACACACACACACACUGUAACUGUCUUCAGACACACCAGAAGAGGGCAUCAGAUCCCAUUUCAGAUAAUUGUGAGCCACCAUGUGGUUGUUGGGAAUUGAACUCAGGACCUUUGGAAGAGCAAUCAGUGCUCCUAAUCACUGAGCCAUCUCUCCAACCCCCAGAUUUUUGUUUUUGUUUUUGUUUUAAUCUAAAGCAACUCACAUCUUAGCUGUUUUAAGGGCUGGAGAAAUGGCUCCUAGGCCUUUUCUAAAACUAUACUAUUCGAGGUUCAAGGGGCUGAGAGGAGACUAAUUUGGGAGUUUAAUUACUAGUGGUUUUUAGGGUGUUGACUUUUAAGGACUAAAAAGUAAAUGACCUAAUAACACAAAAUGAGGUUAAUGGUCCCUGCCUGUAAUCCUCGCACUGAGGAAGUGGCAGUAAGAGGGUCCCAGUUCAUGGCGUGCUGGUGUUACAUGAGACUUUAUGUCAGAAAAACUGAAGCAAAGGUCCAGGUAUGACGUCACAGGCCUUCAUCCCAGCACUGAGGAGACAGAAGCAGGUGGAUCUCUUUAACCAGGUCAGCCAGAGCUACACAAUGGGACCCUGUCCCCUCCAAAAGAAAAACCUAUACAGAUUGGUCUUGCCAUCCUUGUGUUUUAUUUUUGUUUUGCUUUAUUAAUAUUUCUAGCUAUGAUAAUCAUUCUAUGAUACUGAUUCAAGGAACUAGGUAAUUUCUAGUAAUUUUAGUAACUAGGUAAUUUCUGUUUCUACUGAGACUAUUUGGGAAUAAGAUAAAAACUAAUAAAAUAUCCAGCUGGGAAGAUAACUGACAGGUGAAAUGCUUGUUUCCUAUACAUGAGGGCUAGAGUUCAGAUUCCUUUACCCUACAUAAAAGCUGGGUGGGUGUGCCAGCCUUGCUAAAUACUAGCACGUGGAAGAUGGCGUCAUACAAUCUCUGGAGCAAACUAGAUAGCCAGACUAAGUGAAUUAAGUUACAGGGAGAAAUGAACACAAAUUUUGUUCAUUUUGUUUGAUAGUGGUUGUAGUACUUACUAAACUUUGGGUAAAUUUUCUAACCUCUAGUUCUUAAUUUCUCUUAGGGAUGUGUGUGUGUGUGUGUGUGUGUGUGUGUGUGUGUGUGUGUGUGUGUGUUUGUAGGGAGAGAAUUGUAUUUCAUUUGUGUUUUUGAGAUAAGGUCUCACUCUGUAGCUCUGGCUGUCCUUGAACUUACUAUAUGGGCUGCCUCAAACUGGCAGAUCCUCAUGCCUCUGCUUCCCAAGUGCUGGGGAAGGACUGCACCCUCAUUCAUACCUAGCAUGUCUUGUGUAUGGGCUAAAUAAGAUAGGCCUCAAAAACCUCACUGCCUGCUGAUCAGACUAUCAAGUUCUCAGCUGCUGUUCCAGCACCAUGACUUUCUACUUCCUGCCAUAAAAGUCAUGGACUAACUAACCAUCUGAAACUGUAAGCAAGUUCCUAAUUAAUACUUUCUUGGUCAUGAUAUCUCUUCACAGCAAUAGGACAGUGACUAAGACUGACACUUCUGGUCUUAAAAUGUAUCCUGAAGAUGGGGUAUAGAAAAUUUUGUCUUAAGAUUUCAGUCUGAGUAGAACCACUAAAACUCUCCCAGUUGGUAAGUUAAUUAACUUAUUUAAAGACAGGACAUCUAUACUCCAGGCUGGCCUAGAACUCAGUCAUCUAAGCAGCACUUGGGAUUACAAGCAUGCAGUAAGGGCUGGAGAGAUGGCUCCGCAGCUAAGAGCACCAACUGCUCUUCUGGAGGUCCUGAGUUAAAUUCCUAGCAAACACAUGGGGGCUCACAACCAUCUGUAUGAGAUCUGGUGCCCUCUUCUGGUGUGUCUGAAGAUAGCAACAGUGUAUUCCCAUAC
rnacentral:lncRNA from 1 species